CGCUCUACUACUGUCCUCUGAAUUUUCCAUACCUCGUUCCGUUUCGAUCCUCUUUUCGACUUCGGUUCGUUCUUUACUAUUUUUCAUACUGUCACCGGAAGUUUUCGCCCUUCCGUAUUUUCUGGGUUCUGUCAUUCAGCUGUGGACUUUCGUUCUGUUAACAACUUCCAGUGCUCGCUUCGGCGGCCUGGCUAAGUUCGUCAUGUAGUCCCACUGUUUCCCUAACCCGAGAGGUCUCAUCUAGUUUUAACAACUUAGUAUAAUCUGUACUUUGUCCUCGGGUUUUGUAUCUGGUUCGUCACACUGUGCGUUGAGGUCAUUCUCCGCCAUGUGUUCCUUCACUCCAAGAUCAGGAGCAGCAACUUGUGUAGUGAAGUGAUGUGAAUAUGGACAAAUCUUCUGAGUGAGAAGUUCGCAGUCAGUGCUGUGAUUAUGUGUUUUAAUAAUAAGUCGGUACUUCAGUAAGUCUGUGUUUUAGAUUAUUAGUCCAAAGUUCUGAAUAUGUUUGCAAGUAGCAAAACGGAUCUGUUCAAGUCAUGUAGUCUUUUCGUUGAGACAUUUUGAGUUUGCGUUCACCUGGGUAUUGGACCAAUCUUGCCCAGUGUGUUUUAGUCAUACCUUGGGAGAGGUUAUCUUUGCACUCUUCAGUGAGUUAGUUAAGUUCUGUUGAUUUGUUUGAAUUUGUACGGUUCUUAUUCGAGCUGUUGUUAUUCUGUUGAAGCCAGUGCCCAUGGCGUGCCCGUGCUGAUUUUAAUUUAGUUCUGUUUGUGAGUACCGUUGGUUCGGUUUGUUGGUAUUUGUGAUUAUGUGUAUGCAUAUGAGUAUGGAUUUGUAUGGGCUUGAGUUUUGCCCUUUGUGUGAGUUCUGUGCUUGAGUUAAGUGUGAUCUGUCCGUUAUUAAAAUGGUUGUUUCUGUUAUUGUUAAA
rnacentral:lncRNA from 1 species